rnacentral:rRNA from 1 species
AUUGAACGCUGGCGGCAGGCCUAACACAUGCAAGUCGAACGGUAACAGGAAGAAGCUUGCUUCUUUGCUGACGAGUGGCGGACGUGUGAGUAAUGUCUGGGACACUGCCUGAUGGCGGGGGAUAACUACUGGAAACGGUAGCUAAUACCGCAUAACGUCGCAAGACCAAAGUGGGGGACCUUAGGGCGUCUUGCCAGUGGAUGUUCCCAGAUGGGAUUAGCUAGUAGGUGGGGUAAAGGCUUACCAAGGCGACGAGCCCUAGCUGGUCUGAGAGGAUGAUCGGCCACACUGGAACUGAGACACGGUCCAGACUCCUACGGGAGGCAGCAGUGGGGAAUAUUGCACAAUGGGCGCAAGCCUGAUGCAGCCAUGCCGCGUGUAUGAAGAAGGCCUUCGGGUUGUAAAGUACUUUCAGCGGGGAGGAAGGGAGUAAAGUUAAUACCUUUGCUCAUUGACGUUACCCGCAGAAGAAGCACCGGCUAACUCCGUG